rnacentral:rRNA from 1 species
UUUCCUUCCCGGACAUAAAUACAAAAAUAAUCUUCUAACUUAACUUGUUUUUGGUUGGGGCGACCAAGGGGAAAAACGAAACCCCCUUAUCGAACAUGUAAAAUGUUACUUAAAAUUAGAAUGACAGUUCUAAUUAAUAGAAAAUCUAACGAACAAUGACCCAGGAAAGACAUUUCCUGAACAAUGAACCAAGUUACCCUA